rnacentral:rRNA from 1 species
GUAGGGGGGCAAGCGUUGUCCGGAUUUAUUGGGCGUAAAGAGCUCGUAGGCGGUUCGGUAAGUCAACGGUGAAAUCUCCACGCUCAACGUGGAGGCGCCCGUUGGUACUGCCGUGACUCGAGUCCGGUAGGGGAGUGUGGAAUUUCCGGUGUAGCGGUGAAAUGCGCAGAGAUCGGAAGGAACACCCGUAGCGAAGGCGGCACUCUGGGCCGGUACUGACGCUGAGGAGCGAAAGCGUGGGGAGCAAACAGGAUUAGAUACCCUGGUAGUCCACGCCGUAAACGUUGGGCACUAGGUGUGGGGCUCUAUCAACGGGCUCCGUGCCGUAGCUAACGCAUUAAGUGCCCCGCCUGGGGAGUACGGCCGCAAGGCUA